CAUAUUGAUGAACAUUCUGUGAUUUAGAGAUGUAGUGAUUAAAGUUCAAUAUUUCCUAUAGAUUCUGUGAUUUGAUAAUGAUAAUUCAAUGUCAAUUUGAGUUGUAGAUUUCUAUUGAAACAAAGCCUUUACUACUCAUGCUGGCUUGUUUUAGUUCUAUACAAAUUUGUUUCACUUUUUUAGUUAUGUAUAUAUUUAUUUUAUAUAUUUGCACUAUUGAUAGUAUUGAUUGUAGAUUUCUAUUGAAACAAAGCCUUUACUACUCAUGCUGGCUUGUUUUAGUUCUAUACAAAUUUGUUUCACUUUUUUAGUUAUGUAUAUAUUUAUUUUAUAUAUUUGCACUAUUGAUAGUAUUGGUUUCAUUAUAUGGCUGUAAGUUUGGAAACAUUAGGUUGCCUGAUUUCAAUUGUCCAUUUCUAAUUUUUUAUUCUUAGCAUAGUCCUGAGUGUAGUACACCGUCAUUUCAUGAUGUCAGCUUCGAGCUCAUGUGCAUUGUGUGUGUAAGCCACAUAUCAUCUGUAUGGAUCAUGUAGUUUUUAAGUUCUGCAGAUUAUUUUGGUAAGGUUAUUUUUUGUGUGGUGUGUUAUUACCGUUGUACAUCUCGCGUAACACAAAUCACAAUUGUAUGAGACUUAACUGAAUAUUACACAAGUUUCAUCUUAAUAUAAUAAUGGCCUACAAUACACCUUGUUAGUUUAUUUAAGAUAUAUGGUUGGAAUGAUUACAAUAAAUAAAUGUGUUCACUUUUUUUGUUGUUAUUAGUUGCUUUCACAUAUUUUUUUAAGAUAUAAUAUAAUAAUGGCCUACAAUACACCUUGUUAGUUUAUUUAAGAUAUAUGGUUGGAAUGAUUACAAUAAAUAAAUGUGUUCACUUUUUUUGUUGUUAUUAGUUGCUUUCACAUAUUUUUUUAAGAUCGGUAAUAUGUUGAGAACAAUUUUGUAGAUAUCAUUUGGAUGGCUAUUGUUUAUUCUCAUUUGUGCUAAAUUGGAUUCCUAAUUUAUGGAUUCGU
rnacentral:lncRNA from 1 species